rnacentral:rRNA from 1 species
GGAGUUCAACAUGCGCGCUAGUUGUUGGGUAUUAUUCGUAUGUACUAAACCCGAAGGCGCAGUGAAAGCAAGUCACAGCUCUGCUGUGAAUUGGCGAGAUCCUGUCUACUAGUGUAGCCGGUAAAAUGGCCACUGUACAGGCGCAUCGCCGGCCCAUCAUAGACUCAUGUAGUCGUGGUGGAGCCUGAGCGUGCACGUUGAGACCCGAAAGAUGGUGAACUAUGCCUGGGCAGGAUGAAGCCAGGGGAAACUCUGGUGGAGGUCCGUAGCGAUUCUGACGUGCAAAUCGAUCGUCUGACCUGGGUAUAGGGGCGAAAGACUAAUCGAACCAUCUAGUAGCUGGUUCCCUCCGAAGUUUCCCUCAGGAUAGCUGGCACACGAGAGAACGUAGUCUCUCCCGGUAAAGCGAAUGAUUAGAGGUCUUGGGGUCGAAACGACCUCAGCCUAUUCUCAAACUUUAAAUGGGUGAGAAGUCUGGCUUUCUUAAACAAUUUAAGAUGAAGUCCAGACGUUUGGAUACGUGCGCCUAGUGGGCCAUUUUUGGUAAGCAGAACUGGCGCUGCGGGAUGAACCGAACGUUGAGUUACGGCGCCCGACGAGACGCUCAUGAGAUCCCAUAAAAGGUGUUGGUUGCUAUAGACAGCAGGACGGUGGCCAUGGAAGUUGGAAUCNGCUAAGGAGUGUGUAACAACUCACCUGCCGAAGCAACUAGCCCUGAAAAUGGAUGGCGCUGUAGCGUCUGGCCUAUACUCAACCGUUAUUGUAAUGGUGUGUUUGAAAAGCACAUCCAUAACAGUCAUACAAUAACGAGUAGGAGGGCCGCGGCGGUAGCGUUGAAGGCGUACGGGCGUGAGCCUGGCUGGAGCUGCCGUCGGUGCAGAUCUUGGUGGUAGUAGCAAAUACUCAAGCGAGAACCUUGAGGACUGAAGUGGAGAAGGGUUCCAUGUGAACAGCAGUUGAACAUGGGUCAGUCGACCUUAAGGUAUCGGCGAAAGCCGUUCAGAAGCGGUGUGGAUAUGUAUGCAGAAAUGUGUACAGGUUAUUGGGUUACCUGCUGGUUGUGAAACGGGGGUUGGCUGGUAACGGCCGGCCUGCUGUCAUGAUUAGUAGCCAAUAAUCACCGCACCUGCCGAAAGGGAAUCGGGUUAAUAUUCCCGAACCUGGCAUCGGAGACUGAAUGGCCUUCGGGUCAUUACAUGCGGUAACGCAAAUGAACUCAGAGACGCUGACACGUACCCUGGGAAGAGUUGUCUUUUCUUGAUAAGGAGCAAACUCCCUGGAAUCGGAUCAUCCGGCGAUAGGGAGAAAGCAUCCGUAAAGCACCGCGGUUCUUGCGGUGUCCGGUGCGUACGUGUCGGUCCUUGAAAAUCUGAGGGAGAGUGUGAUUUUCGUGCCAGAUCGUACC